CCAUGCGGCUUUAUGUUAAAGGGAGCUGCUAUGGCUGCCCUUUGCAAGUGGCGUUGACGGAUGGGUCUUGCGCAAUAGAAGUCCGCGAACCGUGUCAGGUUGGGAACAAAGCAGCACUAAGCGGAAUUUUCUAUGUGCCGCAAGGGUGCCUGUCCCAAGCUAACUGCAAAGGUAACGCAUGGCAGUUUCCUUUAGAAUAAAGAGCAUGG
rnacentral:SRP_RNA from 1 species